rnacentral:snRNA from 10 species
AUAUUCAUUAAAAAUAUCAUGUCUUAUAAUCAAGAAGGUAGUUUUCUCAAAGUAAGGCUUAUUUAUUGCACUUUAGAUGUGCCAAUCCCUGAGAUUUCCCCAAAUGUGAAAAAUGGGAAACUCAACUGUAUUAUUUGUGAUAUUGGGAGCUAUGUUUGUGCUUUGCACUGA